CAUUUUCCAACUUCUUUUACUCUGGCCACACUUUGACUUGAGCGUAGGACGACUCUGACAGGCGAGGCGUGCACAACGUUGACUGGACCGCCGGGCCUGGACCCACCUGCGCACCCUCCCUCCCGUGCCCGUGGGCCGUCCCACUGCUCGCCCGCCGCCCGCCGCCCUUCCGUGCCCGAAGGCAGGCUCACGAUGCGCAAGGCGAGAUCCCCGGAGACGGGCCGGAGGGCAACCGACCACGCCCACCGGUGCGCUCGUGCUCCGCUUCGGGACCUGCUGCCGCGGCGUGGCGCGUGGCGGCCGGUGACUUCGCCCCGGCUGCUACGCCGCGCCUCCUCGUUGCCGGCGGCCCGCGGGACCGGAACCACGCCUCUCCGCGCAGCCCCUCCCUUGGGUUUCUGUCUGGUAGAUUCUGCUCAUUCACGAGCUCUCUGGCGCUGGAGACCUUCUCAUGCAUUGCGAAACCAUUAAUGCUAGCCAUGGAGAUCCUUGCCUCUUCAGGAUUCAGAACAGCUCGGUGCACAACAGUCUUGAUUUUGCCAUUGCUCAGGACUUCCAUGUGGUCUCCUACGUGGACAUGCAAUGCAUGUGGGAGUGGCUGGACCACUUUCCAGCUGUUGCUGUUGCGGUCGACGACCUCCAGGCCUCGACAACUUGUGAACAAGAUGAUUGGGGGUUUUUCCGGCCAAUAUUGUACCCAUUCACUCAGGGGAUGGGCAUAAUGCUUUAGUUUGAAGAAAUCUGAAGCUGCGUCAACAGCUCCAUCCAUGACAGAUUGACUGAUCCCAUGGUUUAUAAUCUGCAAAAUGGAGAUAGGCAAGUAAGCUUUCUUUGUUCCCUUGCACCUGCUUGUUAGUAGAGACAGAGUGCCCAAGCAGGGUUCAUGAAAGGCCAUACCUUAACUCUAGCGUAGCUACAUAGCCUUAAGUUCUCCUCUAAUGUUUUACAAUUUUAGUAGUGGUCCUUGAGAACCUUGAUAUUGCUUAUAUUUUAGAGUUGAAGCUGGAAACAUUUUAUAUGCACAGAAGGCACCCCCUGUAUAAAUGAUUUGUAAUUUCUCGUACUGAGAGGUCACCCUGUCAGAGAACACGCCUUAGUAAUACUGUUUGCUGCCUUGCUAUGUCCACAAGUACCCAUAGCAUAAUGUUGUUAAAACCAGCCAUUUAAGCCGACCCUGGCUCCCUGUUGCUCUAAAGCCAGACAUUUAUAUCGAGUAGGCUUAGGCCCUGUUACAGAUUUACAACUACAAAGAAUGAAGGAAACUGAGAUGCUUGAACAUACAUGUUGUGUAGAUACUUCAGAAUAUCUUUUCUAAAUUUUAUGAAGACUAAAUUACAGAUCAAAACUUCACAAGUGCACUCAAUACUGAAAUGUUACAUCAUAAAAAAAGAUUAAGAAUGUAACAGGAGAAGGGAUUAUCUACAACCGUCAAGUGCUAAAAUGACCUUCAAUGUAGUACUGAUGUCAUUGCGGUGAUAACUGAAGGACGAAAUGGGGACUGAACUUAUUAGCUUCAUGUUAUUUGUCAGUUUCCAUUUAACCAAGUGACAAAAUGUAGCUGGUCCUCUGCGUAUCGUACAGUUUUUGCCACUCCCUGUUGCCUCAUACAGUCACGUGAUGUGUUCUAGCAUACUUUAUAUAGACUGUUUACACAGCUCAUACUCUUCAUUUUGGGGGCCAAAAGGAGGAUGGAGCUCAUCAAACUAUUUAGCUGAGCAUAGUCAGUUUGCUCCUAAGCUACGGUGCGUGUACUAGUACUAACAUACAAUGCUAUCACAGCUAGCCGCGGGAUUUCGAAGGUCGUCAUAGCUCCUAAUUUUCCUGUAGUCACUCUUUUGCAGUGGUUCUUCAACUACAAAUUUAGUUUGGUUUCCUUGUUUAUCUGCCUGUAUGGUCGUCUUCUGUGGUCAGCAUUGUGGACACAAGUGGCAACGUUAUCCAUUGCAGUUUGGAAAAGAUACAUGCCAAGGCAAAGGCAGAAAAGAAAAAGACACGAAGGCGUGGCAAGGUUAUCAAGGAGUAUACCUGGAAGUAUCCUAGAUCACGGCAUGCUUUGGUGAUAUCUUCAACCACGCAAGCUCGUAUCGCUGGAUCAAGGUUGAGAUGACCCAGGUUGAUCACUGGCAUUGGCGGCGGGUGGAGGUCAUCAGACGGGAGCUGCUCCUGAGGGACAGUCCUUGAGUCAUCAGACAUGUUGACUUAGUACUGUACAAGCACCAGAGUCCAAUUGCAGUAUCUCACUUUACUCAGAAUAGAAACAGGAUGAAGUGUUCCUCUGUGGUGCAGCAUCUACUUAUAGGCAGCUUCAUUCCAGUGCCUGCUCAUUCCAAAUAAGUGGUCAAGCCAUUCAUGUCCAUGCGUGCAUGCACUUGGCAAUAUAUAUAUAAUUAUCUGUCUAUGGGAAGCUCCUACGCGGGGCCUACGUCGGGAACAGGAAGAGCCCGACAAAAUGUGAAUAUUCAUUCAUGUCGCCCGUGUGCCGCCGCAUAGCAAAUUGGGAAUAUCUUAAUACCGCGCUCUGGGCCACUCAUUCGCUCUUUCGUCACACAUGCUCCAUCGUCCUGGUAUGCAACUGGCUGUUGUUUAGGACACAAUUAUGAAGUUGUGUCUUGGCCUAUAUAUUUCUUGCUCCUGGUAUGCAACUGGUUUUUGUUUAGGGCACAAUAAUGAAGGUAUCUCUCGGACACAAGUUGUUUCUGCCAAUGUUUCUGGUGCUGUCCAGGGUGUUGCUUCAUGGAGAGGCUGGAUGGAUUCCCUCAUUGGAAACUUCGGCUAUCCCUGCAGUGUCAGCAAAUUGGGAGUAUCUUAAUCCUACGUUCCAUGCCGCCUACUUCUUUCCUUUGUUCCUGUUAUGCAACUGGUGUUUGUUUAGGAGACACAGCAAUAAUAAAAAUAUCUUACUGAUGCAACUUGUUUCUGCCCAUUUUUUCGCUGCUGUCCUAUCCAGUGGGUGAUCAUGAAGGCUGGAAUCCCAGACGCAGCCUGGGGCUACUCGUUAAAACCCUUUGGAUGGUCCCCAAAAAAGUUCAGUUUUGUCGGUUCCCACAGGGCGACGCCUCUCAUGUCCUGUCACGCAAUUUUCACCCCGCUUACGCGUGCGGCGCAGCUGGGAUUUUCUUAGGUGCAGCGGCGAUGAUGUUGUAUGGCAAGUGGUCUUCGCUGCUGGUGGUUCGGGUGCAGCCUGACCAGGAGGGGCUCAUGGAGACUGUGGAGUGCUGCUGCUGCUGAUCUGAAUGGAAGCUUGGCUUAGUUAAUUGGUGCAGUUGCAGUCGGCGAAAAGGGCUAUUUUUGGUGGUUCUCGUAGGCUGCCAUGUUAUAUACUUUUGUGAUAGCAGAUAGCUUGGCCAGAGAGGGUGGACGCGGAUGAGCCGCGUCUUUGCUUGGUUUUGGAUAAGAGCCAUCAUCCCUACCACUACUCUCGGCGUGUAGCAGGUACAUGUGAGCAUUGAGGAACUUCCUCUCCUGCUUCUUUUUUUACCUGGUGAAGAUGAGCUGCAAGUGCUGUGUUGCCUCUCGCUCCAUCCGCGUCCUCUGCGACGAAAGUGUUUCGUUGCCUCUCACUCUAUCCGCAUCCUCUGCGACGGUGCCAGGAAAGGACGCCACACCGGGGGUUGUCCACUUGUCUUGGCACGAAAACUUUGGCCGUUUAUGAAAAUUUGGGCCAUGUGCAGUAGUUUGUAUCUGUUGGUGUUGGUGUUGGUGCUUAGUCUCGUCGCGAUCCUCUCGUAUCUUAAUUUUGGUUUGCCUUGUAUUUCAAUUCGGUUGUUUUUAUCAAGAACAUAGUUGCAUCUUAAUUCUAGUUCCCCCAAUUGGUGC